CCCUUAGAUGUUCUGGGCUGCACGCGUGCUACACUGAUAUUGCCAAUAUGUCAUUCUUAUCCGAAAUGGAUUGGGUAAUCAAGUAAUGAAAUUUCAUGCUUGGAAUCGGUAAUUGCAAUUUUAUCGUGAACGAGGAAUUCCUAGUAAGCACUAGUCAUCAGCUAAUGUUGAUUAUGUCCCUGCCCUUUGUACACACCGCCCGUCGCUACUACGGAUUGGGUGUUCAAGUGAGAUGCUUAGACCCUUGUUGCAUGGUUCAUUAUUGUGCUCCGAAAGGAAAAAGUUUCAAGCUUGAGUGUCUAGAGGAAGUAAAAGUCGUAACA
rnacentral:rRNA from 1 species